GUCUUUAAUCAUUCAAAUAAGGGAGUUUUUCAUUUUUCGAGCCAAACACUUUCUCUUUCUUUCUUCGAGAGUUCGAUUCUUACCAUCAUUCCCCUUCGUUCACCAGCAUUUCACUAGCAGAGCCCUCUCCAUCAGCUAGCGUGACCGUCAGUCACCGUGUUGGUGAUUGGCUGUGUCGAAAUCAUGUGCCCGUGAUUGGGUGUGUCACAAUCGUCAUCGGAGUUCGUCCAUCGCAAAGGUUGGUUCAGCGCUUGGUUUCGCAGUUAAACGAUGAGUUUCACCGAUUGUCAUCGAGGAUGGGCUUCCACUUGCUGUGAUGUGUUUGUUCUUCUUACAGAGUUGUUGUUCGAGGGUUGUUCUUGGAGGGGUCUUGCUGGAGUGUGGUGUGGUUUGUGCAUGUGAGCGAGCUUGUCUAAAUCAUCUUGGUGGAGGUUUUGGGUUGUCUUUCUUCCCUUGCCGUUGAGGAAUAUUAUUUAGACUGUCAGCCAAUUUUCGCAAAGCGAAAGCCAAAAUUCGCACUGCCAGAAGAAGGAAAUUCGCAUAGUGCACCAGUACAUUUGAUUUGCACGGAGCGAAUUAAUGAAGUUAAGUGGCUUUAAAAGACGUGACAGAAAGACAGAAACAUUCUUCUAACAGAAGUUCCGGACAAAAAAAGAAACGAAAACAUCUCAGGAACUUCCAGAGACUACUUCAAGGCAUCAAGACACCAUUUUUGCAAGGGAUUGCUUCAAAUGUGUACGUUUAGAUGACUAGGAGUAGUUUUUCUUUCGUUGGAAUUGGAUGUAAUGAAUUUACUCUGGUGUAAUUUUCUUGUUUAAUAUAUCGUUGUUCGUUCAUAUGCUCUUUCUUGAAUUUACUAUCAUUAUAUGGAAAUAUAAUGUUAUUUGAAUGUUUCUGAUUACUGGAAAGUAACUUUGAACAUGGACAUAGAUAGAGCACCUAAGUGAUUUGGGAUCUAGAGAUAGACUCAAUAACUUGGUCAUUCUUAACAUCGGACUUAAUGCAAAUUGUAUGUUAAAUUGACUAAGGAAUUAGCAUUUUGAUAUAUUAAUUUAGAACUAAUUGCUAAGGGAUUAGGACUAGUAUGCCUUGAUGUGAA
rnacentral:sRNA from 1 species